ensembl:lncRNA
ACAAUAAGGAGCUGGCUGUCCUGGUGCUGAAAGUGCUCGGCCUCCACUGGAACAUCCACCAGAGAAUUUGGCUCAAGAGAAAUUGUUGCACAUGAAGAUUUCCGAGCAAUCCUUUCUCACUGCUCUGUUGGAAUGGCUCAUCCAUUGAAGACAACUGUGAGCCCAGAUAUCAAUAAGACCCCUUUUUGUUUUAACCACUGACUACGCACAAACUCCGUACCUCAUCCACAACCUCACCAUCAGAGAAAUAAAAGGAAUAGUGAGUAGAGACUUCAUCCGCUCGGUUCUUUGUUCUGGGCUCAUCUCCAUGUCUUAAAAAAGGCAGGCGCCUGGUCAUGAGAUCUGCUGAUGACACAAACUUGAGUGACUGCAUUGCUAUUGCGGAGAAGGAUACAAAUGUGAUAUGGGAAGAGCUGUGGAUGACCUUUAAGGAAAGCCGAGUGAGAGAAGUGGGUGUGCUUUGACAGUAACAAAGAGUAGGAGACUAGACUUAGAGAUUGAGGUAGAAAAAAAUGACCUGAAAUAGUCUAUUUGAUAGAAUCAUGGAAUGGCGUAGGUUGGAGGGGACCUUAAAGAUCAUCAAGGUCCAACCCCCUGCCAUGGGUUGGUUGCUACCCACCAGAUCAGGCUGCCCAGGGCCCCAUCCAACUGGCCUUGAGCACCUCCAGGGAUGGGGGACCCACAGCUUGCCUAUUUGAACACAGUGUCCUUGAAAAGAACAACUGCAGUUGUACUGUAUCUCAGGUGAGAUGUUUCCAGUUGAGACAGGGAAGUGUUAAAUACCAUUGCACAGAGAGUAGCUGGGACAUCACCUGAGUAACUAUGAAGUUCUGGUCACCCAGAUUCAAGAAAGAUUAACUGAAAGUUGAAGAGGUGCAUCUCUAGAAAGGCAGCUAAAGUGCCUGUUUUGUUCAGAGGAGGAAAACAAGCAGAUCCAUAGGCUGCAUCUGUACUAAUUUACUGAAAUUACCUAGAUGGUUCUCCGACAGUGGGGUCCACCAGGAAGGAAUUGGGCAGCCUGGUCUGGUGGUUGGCAACCCUGCACAUAGCAGGGGGGUUGAAACUGGAUGAGCAUUGUGGUGCUUUUCAACCCAGGCCAUUCUGUGAUCCUAUGAUUCCAUGAUUUUAUGAUCCUAUGAUCCUAUGAUUCCAUGAUUCUAUGAUCCUAUGAUUCUAUGCCCUUCCAUUACAGGGCUUUGUGCAUCUUUGCCUUCAACAUGGUGACAUUCUCCCAGUAUUCCAGCGUGGACUAUUUUUAUGCUCUGCGUUACGUUGAUGUGACUGUAAAGAACCAUGUUCUCAAAGAACUCUGGGUUUAUACUGAGCUCAGAAGUCCUGUCUGAAAACUGGUUCUUUAGCUAGCAGGUAUGAUGCCAGUCUUCAUUUGAGGACUUCCGUCCAUGCCUUUUUCAUUGGUCUUUUCUUCUACACACAUGUUGGAAGCACAAAUCAUUUUUGAAGGGUGUGAAAUGCAGCAGCUUUACACUGUUCAGAAGCAAUACUUUGGUUUUACUGCAAACUUUAAUGUAGAUGGCUUGGAGCAACUAUUAGAGUUACAAGCAGAAUAAAUCAACCAGCCAAGUGUCUCUGGUUGCCCAAAUCUCAGAUUUCACAGCAAAAAAAAGCCAAUGUGUGGUGCCACGUGAGAGUGGGAUCCCCUACCUAAGGAAAGUGAUGUAAUCUGUGGAGCUACAAUAGCAAUAAUCUUCUUCGUCAUCCUGUUUCUGUGAGCACUAGCAAUGAAGCAUUAUUAUUUUUCACAACACACUGACUUUUACCAAAGAGUGGGAAUUUCUUCAUUAAUACUGGGGAUACUCCAUUGAUUUUAGAGAAAAGGCUCUUUAUACCUAUACAGAACGCGAGCCAGAAAUUAAAAUUAUAGUAAUUAACUCCAAAACAUAUUUUCCUGCUUAGAAAUCCCAUUCAAGUGCAUAAAUAUCAUUUGAGAAUUACAACACUUGCACAUUGCAUAUCUGCACAUCACAGAUGAUGUAUUCCUCCAAUGCAUGGCUCUACUCGUGCUACAGAUGAGCACAGUCUGAGCAGCCAGCUGGGUGGAUGGCCAGAGGAGAAGUGUCAUUUGGUGCAUCCAUGGAGCUCAACCAGCUGUCUGCCCCAAUGGUGAAAAGCAUCUCUUCCCUUUGCGACUUCUGGCGUGGAUCAGAGAGCCACUAGAACUGGAAAGAUACUGAAUUUCAGCUGGGACACACACAAGCUGCUAAUUGCAUCUCCGCUUCCUACUGCUGGUUGUGCAGGGUGUGGGGUUAAUUCACAGCACAGAGGGAUGAGACAGAGCAAGAAUUCCGUGAGAGAUGAUCUUCUAAAUCAUGACUGACUGCUCUGCAACAGUGAUUAAGGGCCCCAGGAAGAACCAGAGAGCCACUGCAGUAGACCCCCUUUAGAUACUGAAAGGCAUCUAUCAAGUCUCUUCUCCAGGCUGAACAUCCCCAGCUCUCUCAGCUCAUCUUUGUAGCGGAGGUGUUCCAUCCCUUGGAUCACUCUUGUGGCCCUCCACUGGAUGCACUCCAACAGCUCCAUGUCUCUCCUGUACUGAGGACUCCACAUCUGGACGCAGUGCUCCAGUCUUCUUCCUCAACUACAAAUGAAUAAAAUCGGCCCUGGCCAAGCAGGAGGGAACACCAGGUCUGCCACCAUCUCCACCGGGCAGCACCUUGCACUUGGCUCUGUUGAGCUUCAUUAGGUUCACGUGGGCCCACUUUUCAAGCCUGUCCACGUCCCUCUGGAUGCCAUCCCUUCCUUCUACUGUGUCAACGGCACCACUCAGCUCAGUGCCACCAGCAAACUGCUGAGAGUGCACUCAAUCCCAUCAUUGAUGUCAAUGAUGAAGAUGUUGAAAAGCACCAGCCCCAAGACGGAUCCCUGGGGGACACCGCUCAUGACCAGCCUUCACCUGGACACACAGCCAUUGACUGCAACCCUCUGGCUGCAGCCAUCCAACCAACUCUUUAUCCACCCAAUAGCCCAGCCUUCAUAUCCAUAUCUCUCCAAUUUAGAGAUAAGGAUGUGGUGCAGGGCUAUGCCAAAGGCCUUGCACAAGUCCAGGUAGAUGACAUCAGCUGCCUUUCCUUUGUCCACCAGUGCUAUCACUUAAAUACUGAGUGGUCAAGAUAAGAAACUGUGAGAUUCCUUUGUAGCAAGAUCAGUUCAAAUUAGACGUUAAGAAGAACUCGGUAGCAGAGAGCAGGACUCUGGAAUCAGCUGUCUGAGGUCUCUGCAGUCUCCAACACUGCAAGCUUUUAAGGAGAAUCUCUUUAAGCACAGAGUUAAUAUCAACCUCUGCUGGGAAUGGCAUAGAUGGAGUUGUUUCCUGCUUAGACUAGAAAGAUAAAGCAUGUGAUCCUUCAGGAUGCCUUUCAGUUUUAUUCCUCGACAGUUUCACGAGAUUUCCUUUGAGGAUAGAACAAAGUGUUAUCAGCCUCCAUAAAACAGUGCAGAGAGAGCUAUGCUGCCUUUCUGGGAAGUCCAGCUGGACUUGAGGGAAUGGGAUUUAUCUCUGCUGUUUUCUGAGGAGCAUCUCUAGGCCACGUUCAGGACCAGAUGUACCCUCUGUACAGGCAGCCAUCACACAAAAGCAACUUUUGUGCACACAGAGGCCUCAACGAUGAGCUCAAAGAACGCAGUCCACAAGAGCCCAGCAUGACAUUGGAAGCACUGCAGGACAGCAACAGACAUUUUCUGCCUCCCAGUGCUGAGGAAAUGGCUUGAUUCUGCAAAUUCUGACCUCCAGCACAGGGAAAGAAUUGAGGUCCUACACUACUCCUCACAGAGUCCUUUUGGAAUUGUUAACAGACUAGCCAGGAAGAAAGAAAAAUUACUGUGCUAUAAUUUGAAGCAUGAAAGAAGACGAUGGAAACAGAGGGACCCCUCAAGACCUCUGAUCAAAAUGUUGCUGCCACAGGUACCCUGCCAUAUGUUCCCACUCACACCUUCAAUAUUAUUAAAAGUCUUUUCCAGAACUGCAUUCCUCUGAUGCCUCAAAGCCAUCUGCUGGUUUUUCCACUUCAAAAGUAGCCAUGGCCCAAUUUACAUCCAUUUACAUUUGUGCCUAAAAUGCUUCAGAGACCUGAAGCUUGAAUAGCUCCUCUCCCUCCUGUACGUGUAUGGAAAGAUCCCCUCUCCUGUCCAUCCUCAUAUAGGAAUUUUAUUCCUAUAUUGUACUCGAGAAACUCAGGUUUGGUGCCUAAAACUAAAGAAAAGGGUUGAAAAGGACCACAAUGAUCAUCUAGUUUUAACCACA